CUGCUAGCUCCAGGUGGCUAGACUCUGCUGAGGGUCGAGCCGUUGCUCCCCGUCCGGUGCCCCGGCGCCAGGACCGGGUCUACAGACUGUUGAGGGGGCAAAGUAGGAGCCUGAGAAGAGGAGGCCAGGCGACCCUGCCUCCCUCCGGGGCCAGCGCUUCCGAAUUCUGCUCGGCGUCCGGGCGUCCGCGCCCUCCUGGGGCCUCGGCCUUCUGAGGCGAAGGGGCCAGGGGAGGCCCGGGUUAGCGAGGCCAUGUCCGGCUCUGGCCUGCCCGGCCCCGCUCGUUCCACGUCAGCGCUUUGUCACUCCCGGCCGAAGGCCUGCGCGCCGCCGACGAGUACUCCCGAGGCGCGGGCCGAUGUAGGUUGGUGCAGGACUUCUGGGGGCCACAAAUGCUCCUUUUCCUGGAGAUGUGACCCAAGGUGAGCUGUUACAGCCUCUUCCUGGCAGCCUGUGCUCCCACCCCGGAAUCCUGCGCUUCUUCUCCGUCCUGCCUCUCCAGUUUGCUUCUACUCCACUGGCUGCAGCUUCCACCCUCACUGGUGGCUCAGCUAGCUGCCUCCUCCAGCCCUGUCCACAGUCUGAUUGUCUCCGUGUCCUAAAUGUUCCUGUGCUAGGCUGAGCUCUGCCUCAUCAGAAUGUCCACACUCCUGCCGACCUCGAGCUUCUAUUUUCUACACAGAAAUGGAAACUGGGAGAGGAGGGCUGAGUGCCAUGGGGAUAGAGUAAGUGGUUUAGGGGCAACAAAUGGAAUUAUCUGAGGAUCGGUGGGAUGACUGAGCUGGUAAGCAGAGACCCCCUCCACCAACCCCAGUACUGCUGGGUGUCCUGUAUGGCAGGUGGGGCUGGAUGGAGCAAGGCCUCCUGGGUCUCCCUGCAGCCAGAUAUGCUGCAGGCGGUCCCUGCUGCCCCACCCACCACCCUGUGCUGGCCUCCCCCUCAGCCCAGCUCUGUCAUCUCUUCCCUCUCUCCCUCCACCCCUGGCCCACCCACACCUGAGCUGCUUAGGAGUGCCGAUCUUGGCCUGCAUGCUGCAGGACUGGUGCUCUUGGGCAGACACUUGAUUCCUCUCCUCUUACUAAGGAAAAAGGACUCUGAAAAGAGGGGAAGUUAGGGCAAGAAGACCGAACUAUGUGCGGGCUAAGUAGAAAGGAACCAGGGGAGAUGCUGAAGAGACUACCAGAGAAGGACUCAGGGUACCAGUCAGCCCUAAGGGCCUGCUGGUCCCGGGGAUGGGUUGUGGGGCCAGGUGAGGCGGGUCCAGUGGAGAAUUCUGGUUCUGAUUGGACCCUGUCUGACAGCCUGAGGGCCUGUGAAGGAUCCAUUUGACAGGAAAGCAGGGAUAAAACCAAACCUACUCCUUUUUUUUAUAGUUCAUGUCUUUGAGCCUUGAGCUGCAAACUAGCCUCUCCUGCUGACUUUCCCAUUUCCUGUGUUCUCCGACACCCAGGUGUAAACCUCAGGGUGAUAACCCGACGUUUACUCAGUUAUCAAAUUCUGAAGGUCCUUCACAAAACAGUUGCCUUUUAUUCCCACUUCCUCCACCUAGCCCAAGUACCUGCUCCCAUGCCUAGACUAAUGUAAUAGCCUCCUAGCUCUGAUGCCCUUUGGUCUGUCCAGGGCAUCAUGACUAGAUUAAUCUUGCAGAAGAAUUGCAUCACUUCACAUGUUACUGCCAUGUUUAUUGCCUUCCAUGGUGCUCCCUGUUGCUAGCCAGGAACAGUACAGGCUCUCUGUUCUUUAGCUCAGGGCCUUUCCCAGUUUGGCACACAGCCUACCUACCUUUCUGGCUUAAUCUCCCAGAACGUCCUAGCAUGCACCUUUGACUCAAAUCAAACUAGAUUACUCAGUGUUUCUUGAAAGCACUUUUUCUUCCUCUUAACCUUUGCUCCUGCUUUUCUCUCUGUCUGGGAGGGUCCUCUCUCACAUUCAUUUAUUCAUUUUAAAAUAUUUAUUGAGCACCUUCUUUGUAUUUUGAACAUCUUCAGUCUUACAGAAAAGUUGAAAGAGUAGUACAAUGAACAUGUAUAUAGGUUCACCAGUUGUUAACUUUUGCCACGUUUCUUUCUCUUUUCUCUCUCUUUUUUCCCUAGAUCCACUAAAAAUAAGUUGCAGGCAUUAAGACACUUCACCCCUAAAUAUUUUGGCCCAUAUCUCCUAAAAAUGAGGACAUUUUCUCAUGUAACCACAAUAUCCUUUUUAAAAAUUUGUGGUAAAAUAUACAUAACGUGAAAUUUACUAUUUUAACCAUUUUAAGUAUACAGUUGUGUUGCAUAUAGCUGAUUCACUUUGUUAUACAGCA